UGUACUGUAUCACUGGGGCAACAGAAUGACAUGCACAGGGAAGAAUGGGACGCUGGUCCCAAAUGGCCAGUGUUAGGAAGGGUUCCUCUAUUCUGACGGGCUGUUCCUUGACCAUCAGCCCUGACUGGUCCCUCUCUGUUUGCCGCUUCUGUCCACCCAGAGUCAAUCUCAGUGAGUCCAUCCUGAAAUUGAUCUGUAUGCAGUCUUCUUGCUAGACAGUCUGCAGCUCUGAUGACCUUGGCAGCGGUCAUCUGCUGGAGCGUCUGAGCCCUUUUGGACUGGGCAGCACCCCUCUGUGGAUGGAAAUCUGGAGUACUGCUUUGUCAAAGAAAAGCUGAAUUAAAGGCCUUCCUUGGACUUGUCAGGCUUCUGCGAGCCAAGUUUGCAUGGCAACCAAGAUGUAUAACAGAAACAUUCAAAUGGUCUUCAUAAAAAGAAAUGUUGAGCAGAGCUCAAGAGUGGAGCGAGUUCUAAGCUGGGACAGACUAUCAAAGCUGGCCAGAGCCAUGACUGAGGUCCAGGUAAUUUAUAUAUGGUUAAAGAAGCUUAGUGGAGCCACUCAGAACAUCAGCUCAGAAGCUGGUUAUAUAAAUCAUACACUAACACUCUGGACUUGGAGGGAAGGCUUGUGCCCCUGAAGACCAUUCUGAAGAAAGGCUGCAUUCUAGGGCAAGUGCCCUACUCAGAAAGACUUCUGCUUUUCAGGCAUCUUCCACUGAUGCUAUUAAUAAAUGGGAUGCA